rnacentral:rRNA from 1 species
GAUGAACGCUGGCGGCGGGCCUAACACAUGCAAGUCGAGCGAAAGGAGGAGGAAGCUGCCUUUUUGACGGUAGCGGGGCAGGGGGGAGUAAAAUGUCGGGAACACAGCUAGAAGAAUGGGAAUACCUAGGGAAACCGGAGGUAAAAACGGAAAAAAUUCGGAAGCCCAUGGUGGAAAAGUGAAGGACGGUCUUGCAGCGACUGAGCGAUGAAGCCGCGCUGCAUUGGCUAGUUGGAAGGGUAACGGCUUACCUAGGCGACGAUGCCUAGCCGAGCUGAGAGGAUGAUCGGCCACACUGGAACUGAGACACGGUCCAGACUCCUACGGGAGGCAGCAGUAGGGAAUAUUGCGCAAUGGGCGCAAGCCUGACGCAGCAACGCCGCGUGUGUGAUGAAGGUCUUCGGGUUGUAAAGUACUUUUAUUGGGGAGGAGGGGAUUUAAGUUAAUCCCUUCGCUCAUUGACGUUACCCGCACAGGAAGCCCCGGCUAACUCCGUG